GAUGAACGCUGGCGGCGUGCCUAAUACAUGCAAGUCGAACGAAACUUCUUUAUCACCGAGUGCUUGCACUCACCGAUAAAGAGUUGAGUGGCGAACGGGUGAGUAACACGUGGGCAACCUGCCCAAAAGAGGGGGAUAACACUUGGAAACAGGUGCUAAUACCGCAUAACCAUAGUUACCGCAUGGUAACUAUGUAAAAGGUGGCUAUACUACCGCUUUUGGAUGGGCCCGCGGCGCAUUAGCUAGUUGGUAGGGUAAAGGCUUACCAAGGCAAUGAUGCGUAGCCGAAUUGAGAGGUUGAUCGGCCACAUUGGGACUGAGACACGGCCCAAACUCCUACGGGAGGCAGCAGUAGGGAAUCUUCCACAAUGGGCGAAAGCCUGAUGGAGCAACGCCGCGUGGGUGAAGAAGGUCUUCGGAUCGUAAAACCCUGUUGUUAGAGAAGAAAGUGCGUGAGAGUAACUGUUCACGUUUCGACGGCAUCUAACCGGAAAGCCACGGCUAACUACGUG
rnacentral:rRNA from 1 species